GUUGAUAGGUCAGAGGUGUAAGUGUGGUAACAUAUUUAGCUGACUGAUACUAAUAGGUCGAGGGCUUGACCAAUAA
rnacentral:rRNA from 1 species